ACACCCCUUUCAAAUUUGUUGCCGCUUCAAUGUCAGAAAGUAGCUUAUAAGCAAUUGAUUUGCCCUUAUCUUUUGCCUCCCUUGUUUUUUCUUCCAAUGAUGCUAAGGUAUCCUUUACAGGUAAUUCUUGUGAAGCUGCCUCCCGAGCCUUGUCUCCUCGAGUUUGCCUCUUAGAAGAAUUUCCUUCUCUCGUAUCAUCAAAAUUUCCUCGUCUCUUUUCUUUCAUCAAAGCUUCAUGUUGGCUCUUAGCAAUAUA
rnacentral:lncRNA from 1 species